ACAGAGUGGUUUUAGAGGGAGGGACUCCCUCCUCUGUCUCCUCACACUGAUUCAUAGCAGAGCCCACACCUUCACACAAACACAACAACAUGCUGUCAGAGCUCCAACAUUCAUGACAACAACGUCUCCAUCACACAAAAAACAGGAAGUUGGGCUUCACUGUAACAUCUCAGAAGUGACGUUCUGAACAGCCUUUUGUCUGCUGGAUUCUUCAAGGCUGACAGACUUUGGCUUUUUGUCCUUUUGUUUCACAAAGUUAAAGUGAAGCCCCGUUCAAACUUUAACAUCCAAGUGUAGAAACAUGAAACCAGUCUGACCAGUUCUGUCAGUCCACUAGAUGGAGCUCAUGACCCACACAGCACAGACGGACAGACUGCAGUGCGUCUCUACUCUCAUCUUUACGGUAAUGAACGUGACUUCUUUUAAGUAUUUUCUCCAUCACAAACUAACAAACAAAGUGUGAGAAUAAACAAGCUUUCCCACUGAUUCCUGACUGUUAGCAGCUGUUAGCAUCACAGCUGAAGCCGCUUUUCACUCUUUCAAACGUCUUCUGCUAAAAAGCACAAGAGCCGAGCGGUCGAUCGUGUCGGCCGACAGACUCGACUCCUGCCACACAUUCAAACACUUUGGACUCUGAGGAUCGAGUCAAAGUACCGGAAGGCACAAACAGUCACAUAACACGAGUCAUUAGAGAACAACAGAGAGAAAAACACACGUUUACCUUUGAGUGCGGAGCCACUAAAUAAUCUGCGUCAGCAGCUGAGAGGAAGUGAAAGUAACACAAACUUCCUGUUACGCCUCAAAAGCAGACGACAGCAGAUGGCUGAAGCUCUGCGGUCAAACCAGCCGUCACAAUGUUUUCAAGUGCGUUUAUGUACGAGACACUAAUAUAAACACGAGUUCAUAUGGCGACUUCGAACCGAUUUCACAAUAAAAGCAUGUCCAGGCAAAUAGAAAAAGUUACAUUCAGUCAUUAAAUCAAAUUUUCUUUAAGCUAAUCAUACAAUAAUACAUGAUCACAUCAAUAUAACAAAUGAAUGAAUGAAUAAAUAAAUAAAGGUAAAUAAAAUAUAAACACAAUGAAUAUGAAUAAUAAAUAUCUCAUCAAAUUUGUUCUCUGAAUUCAGAGUGCUAUUUCAAGGAAACUUCCUGUUGCCACUUGUAACUGAGUCAGUUUAAGUUAAGUUCAUAAAUAGUUUUGAGUUUAAAAAUAAUCAUUUAUGUUUGUUUUUGUUUCUUUCCUUGUUAAUGAACAUGACUAUCAAACUGAUGCAGUUUGUCUCCGCGGGGGGUCGGGUUAUUAUUACCUGCACUCGGGAGACUCACCUUGAGAAAGAGACUUUACUGGCGUCAGUGAAGAUGUUUGUUGUCGUCACGUUGCUGCAGUAUGACAGAAGAUGUGGUUAAGAAGGACUGAAAGACUUGAAGUUUUCUUCGUACCAACGCGGCCAAUGAGUCCUCACGGCUUGACGGACUGAUGACGUAUCGUGACGUAUCGGCACGUGGCAACUGCAUGUUGAGGACGCAGAUAAAAGCCUGGAACCAAAGACCGCUUUGUGCUCGUGAUUAAACUGGAGGGGACUCACACCACUGACCAGUUUCACUUCAGGAUGAUAGCAGACCACACCACGGUGUUUCACAAUGAGUUUCAGGACGUUCUGAUGUAGCAUUUCAAAAUAAAGGCCAUCCAAAAUCCCACAUAUCAGCUAGUUUUUACUCUGUUUUCAGAGUGUAAUUAAAAGGAAACCUUCUGUUGCCACUGACCAGUUUCACUUCAGGAUGAUAGCAGACCACCCCACGGUGACACAUGACAUGAUGUUGUUAUUGAAAAGAACUCAAAUAAUAACCAUCAUUCUAAAUAAGCAUUCUUCUAAUCAUCAUUUCCUGUCCUGUCCACCCAAUAUGUGUUGUUCUCCAUGUGCUCUUGGUUUCCAUAGCGGCAUCAAGCUAACAAAUGUAGAGAAGUGCAGGGUGCUGUUUGAUUGGCAGCAGUGAGCCUCAGUGUUUGAGCCUUUAACUCAUUAGCUGGUGGUGGAAAGUAACAAAGUACACUUACUGAAGUACUCAGUAGCUUUUACUUUCACUCCUUGGCACAUCAGAGGCAGAAAAUGUACAUUUGCUUUGGUUAUAGUUACUUUCAGAUUAAGAUGUCACCUUAAUAACAUGUUAUAUGUUUACAAAAUACAAACAGGAUUCUUUGAAGCAGUGAUUUUAACCUUCUGCACUGUGACCUCCAAUGUGUCACUGAGUCUUCUGUUGGGUUUCAGAGACUUUCACCUCUAAAUGUCUCACAUGGUUUCAUUAGUGACAAAUGAUUCAGCAGUUCACUAAAAUCAGCUGGAAAUCAGACUUUUUGUCCUCCUUCUCCCAGUAACCUGAGGUAUCUGCUGACCCUUUAAAGGGACCCGACCUUCAGGUUGGGAACCACUGGAUUAACGAGUGGCUGAGACUGAGUCCACCUGACGCUUCAGCGUGAAGGCGAGCAGGAAGAGGUUUUAAUGAGCGCUGGAUCCACUGAGUCGUGUCUCUGCAGAGUCACAUGUUCCACCGUUUCCACCCAGCUCGUAAUCAUGACAACAAUGAAUACUUUAUAAAAUAUUUUAUGUUUCUCACCUUUUUUGACUCAAACACAUCAUCACCAGGUCUUGUGAUGUGCUGCUUCAAUGCAUUUAAACAAUUUAACACCCAGGAUUUCACAUUACAGACACCACUGAGCCGUUACAGACGGACCACAACACACACUGAUGACACGAGGCUCAGCUAUACAGCAGCUUUUGAGCCAGUUUUAAGAAAUGAAAAAGCCAGAAAAAAGUAACGUGAAGUAGACAAACAGACACAAAAUACUUGAUGUGCUUAACAAGGUGUUAUGUGUCUGAACAACAGACAGUCAAGCAUCACUUCAGUGCUUUAAUAAAGACUCAGAACACUAAAGGGACAUCAGCUGUGACAUCAACAGACUGCAGCUUGUCAGUUUUGCUGCUGGGCUGUCGGGUCUUCAGAGUUUAUCUUCCUCAGCUCAGUCUCUGCAUCUCUGUUUCCAUUGCUUUGUCUGUGUCUAAACAGGAAGAAAGAAAAAGAGGAACGUAGUCACUUUUAACCUGAUCGUGACCUCUGAGGAGCCUGGAUUCUGAUUGGUUGGAAGCCGUGGCUUUACCAGGUCACCUGCAGUAUUAUGUGUGUGUUUGAUUGUAUUUCUAACUGAGUGUACUGCCACUGUGUAAAGACAAGGAGAGCAUAGAACUUGGGUUAUAUGUGUAACUACCAACCACACAAAUUUACAUUCAGUCCAUUAAUGUGACUGAAGGGGACAUGAGAAAUAACUGCUUAAGUAUGAGAGAGACAGACAAGGAGAGACCAGCUGUCUGUGUGAUAGAUGGGAGGACAGUGGCUGCUGCUUAAAAAUGUCUUUUUAACUCUCUCAGGUCACCUCUGUGGUCACACUGUGUCCCUGUUUGACAAUAUCUGACAUAAAAAUACAAUUUCUUUGUAUUUUCAUAUCUGAUCAUGUUUUCUUCCUGUUAAAAUAUGAAGUGUUGUUAAGAUAGAAGCCAGCAGUUUCAACCAAUAAUAUCACGACUUCCACCAAUCAGUAGAUCCUCAGCUUUUAAUGACACAGAGUGAUCAUUAGAUUUAGUCAGUGUUUCAUUUGUGUAUGUGGGUCCUGGAGGUGAAAAAGUCUGGGACCACUGUUUUCAAGAACCCUUCUACAAUAUGCACACAUGGUAACACAAUCUCCAGUUUCCUGCAUGGAGCUCAGAUGUUUGACUCCACCAGAGCAAAGAGAUGGAGCCGUAAAAUCUCCUUCAGACAGACAGUAACACAGAAACCCUCUACCUUCCCUCCUUGACAUCCAAGAUGUUUUCAGGCGGACGGAAGUUGAGCGUCUCAGGGAGCACGAAGACCAAGCUGCCGAUUCCCGUCCCAGCGAAGAUCAGCGGCGGCAGGAGAAGCCGGACGUCCUCCAGCAACACAAUCGUGGGAGCCAAUGAACUGCCGAUGCGACAGAUACACGAGGUGUAGCCUGUACCACACUGCCUGUCCAGAAACACAACCAGGAGGGUCAGUUUUAAUGCUGCUGGCAGGGUUUACAUUUAAGUAGUUCAAGUAGAAAGAAAGUCUGACACCAGUAAUGCAAGAUAACAUCAGUACGCCAUCGCUGUCUGCUGACGAAGGCUUUAGAAUGAGAUUUUAGAAGCCAAACCUCAGUCGCACCAGUUCUGCGAGACACUGAAAUAAAUACAAAUUGUCACAUUUUUACUUACAAAAUACUGAAGAAAUGAUGACACUCUUGCAGUGGUGGAUUGCAGCCUAAAAAAUGUAUGUUUUAAAGUUUCUGCAUCCAGAAAUUUUUGGUGAGAGCUGCAGAGUUUAGAGAUAUCAGCUGUAGAAAUGUCUUCCUACUCUUGAAUACAGAGGAAUUAGAUGGUACUUAACCUAAAAAACGUAACAGUGAAGCUUCCAGAAAAUCAUCACCCAUUUGCUCAAGAUAACCUACAGACCCUGUUGUGAGGAGUUUGGAUGUGGCUCUAAAAAUGAGCUGUCUAACUGUUAUGGGAAUUUCUCAAGAAAUGCACACAGGGCCGUUGCUAGCCAUUUGGGUGCCCUCAGCACAGAUGCUUUGUGGUGCCCCCCUCCCCCCGGAAUGAACAAUAAUUCAGAAUUUAUCAGUGCGAUUCGCUUUAUUUCCAAAACAACUCAUCAGUAUUAAUGUUUUGAAUAAAUACUUCUGAAUUAAUAAUGACACCAAACAUGAAGUUAAAAAGGUUAUAAUGAUAAAUAAACACAACCACCAUUAUUAUAAACAAAGAUUUGUACGAUGACUGUAGACUGAACAUUGAACUAAACAUUGUAAACACAGAACAAAUUAUUCAAGUAUACACCCUUGUAAGUAAUAAUGUGCAAAUUUCUCCAGUAAAUAACUACACAUAAGAACAAAUAACUGCACAACAGAAUUUACUCAACAGAGGGACUUUACCAUCUCAGUACAGAGAUCAUUCUGCUAUUCAAUAGAACUAUGUUACAGACAUUUUCACAACCACCAGAGCUGACUUUUAAAGGACCUCUCCGCACAAUUUCCACACGAUCAGCAUCUAAAAUGUGAGCUGACCACAGAGCAGGAUCAGUUGGAGGGGGCACAUAUGUCUCUACAGUGUCACUUGCUGAUGGCCUCUCAGUGACAGGACUCACUCUGCUUUCAGAAGCGGUGGUUGUGUGUGGAGUUGUAUCUGUACCUGAACUGGUAGUUGAUGGUUGUUGCUGGUCAGGGCUGGGACCUGUUGCAGAGUCUACAGACCAGCUGCUGGAUGGUUGAUCAUCUAAAUCUUGAACCUGGAAACCGACGAGAACCGUUUACGUGUAAAUGAGAGGGAAACCGCAUAAAUAAAUAAGGGUGUUUAUAGACAUCCUGAAAUGCAGCAUCAUGUGAAGUAAACUUGGCUAACAGGGUAACGACACUUGACUGCACCUCUGACGGCAGAAAGCCCCAAGUUAAGCUUAAUCAGAAAUAGCAUAGCUAGCUAGUGUGACAGGUCGUCUCUCUCCCUGCCAUUACAUGGCACCGUGUCAACCCACUGAGCGUCCUGAUUGAGGGGCGGCACUAUGUGUCCCUAGAGAGGUGCAGAUACACCUGCCUUUUCCUCUUCCUCCGCUUCCUUCCGGUGGCCACCGGUUUGGUGUGACCACCGUGAUUGUUUGGCGUGGCCGUUGCGGGUGCACGGUCCUCUUCAUUCAGCGCGACCGGCUGCCGGGGCCGUGAGGAUGCAUCGCUCCGGGGAGGCCUCUCCUGGAGGUGCUCGCCUGCUCCUUUCGUUUACACCUCGCCACAGCAACUUCAACUGAGAUUGAGGCCUAAUCGAACAGACCACUGGGAGGCGGGGCAGGGGGGCACCAGGAGGAGACUGGAGAGAGGACCACAAAGGAGAGCCACCUUUUACUCCAGCAAGUUGGCAUAUGCUGCUUUUGUAUUGCUUAUACAUAUUAACAUGCCUUGCAUAUAUUUUAUAUAUAUAUUGUUACUAGUACUUAGCCUAUUGUGAUGAUUUUUUCAUGAGUCUGAUUUUUUGGUGCCCCCGCAGGCACUUGGUGCUCUACGCGCUGUGCGUAAUGUGCGUGUGCGGAGCGACGGCGCUGCAUGUAGUGAUGGGAAUCGUCUGUUCUUUUUGCUUUUUCCUCAUUCUUCCGUCCUCUGAUUGGUCGGUCAGAGCAAAAGUCACAGUCAAGUGCGACUAGCAGUUCUGAACUGCUCCGGAUGAUGUACAUGGCACAGUUGC